rnacentral:tRNA from 1 species
GGGCUCGUAGUUAAGUGGUAAAACGAUGCAUUCGCAUUGCAUAGGCGAGGGUUCGAUUCCCUCCGAGUCCA